CAGCCGCCGCGGGAAUACGAAGGGGGCUAGCGUUGUUCGGAUUUACUGGGCGUAAAGCGCACGUAGGCGGACUUUUAAGUCAGGGGUGAAAUCCCGGGGCUCAACCCCGGAACUGCCUUUGAUACUGGAAGUCUUGAGUAUGGUAUAGGUGAGUGGAAUUCCGAGUGUAGAGGUGAAAUUCGUAGAUAUUCGGAGGAACACCAGUGGCGAAGGCGGCUCACUGGACCAUUACUGACGCUGAGGUGCGAAAGCGUGGGGAGCAAACAGGAUUAGAUACCCCGGUAGUCCCUGUCUCUUAUAC
rnacentral:rRNA from 1 species